rnacentral:rRNA from 1 species
UACGAAGGGGGCUAGCGUUGCUCGGAAUUACUGGGCGUAAAGCGCACGUAGGCGGCUCUUUAAGUCGGGGGUGAAAUCCUGGAGCUCAACUCCAGAACUGCCUUCGAUACUGAAGAGCUCGAGUCCGGGAGAGGUGAGUGGAAUUCCCAGUGUAGAGGUGAAAUUCGUAGAUAUUGGGAAGAACACCGGUGGCGAAGGCGGCUCACUGGCUCGGUACUGACGCUGAGGUGCGAAAGCGUGGGGAGCAAACAGG